rnacentral:rRNA from 1 species
UACGUAGGGUGCGAGCGUUAAUCGGAAUUACUGGGCGUAAAGCGUGCGCAGGCGGUUCGUGAUGUCUGGUGUGAAAGCCCCGGGCUUAACCUGGGAAUUGCAUUGGAAACUAGCGGGCUGGAGUGUGGCAGAGGGGGGUGGAAUUCCACGUGUAGCAGUGAAAUGCGUAGAGAUGUGGAGGAAUACCGGUGGCGAAGGCGGCCUCCUGGCUUAAUACUGACGCUGAGGUGCGAAAGCGUGGGGAGCAAACAGG